rnacentral:rRNA from 1 species
CAGUCGCCGCGGUAAUGCGUAGGUGGCGAGCGUUGUCCGGAAUCAUUGGGCGUAAAGGGAGCGCAGGCGGGCAUAUAAGUCUUUCUUAAAAGUUCGGGGCUCAACCCCGUGAUGGGAAAGAAACUAUACGUCUUGAGUACAGGAGAGGAAAGCGGAAUUCCCAGUGUAGCGGUGAAAUGCGUAGAUAUUGGGAGGAACACCAACGGCGAAAGCACUCUGCUGGGCCGACACUGACACUGAGAGACGAAAGCUAGGGGAGCAGAUGGGAUUAGAUACCCCUGUAGUCCCUGUCUCUUAUACA